rnacentral:rRNA from 1 species
AUUGAACGCUGGCGGCAGGCCUAACACAUGCAAGUCGAACGGCAGCACAGAAGAGCUUGCUCUUUGGGUGGCGAGUGGCGGACGGGUGAGUAAUGUCUGGGAAACUGCCCGAUGGAGGGGGAUAACUACUGGAAACGGUAGCUAAUACCGCAUAACGUCGCGAGACCAAAGUGGGGGACCUUCGGGCCUCACACCAUCGGAUGUGCCCAGAUGGGAUUAGCUAGUAGGUGGGGUAAUGGCUCACCUAGGCGACGAUCCCUAGCUGGCCUGAGAGGAUGACCAGCCACACUGGAACUGAGACACGGUCCAGACUCCUACGGGAGGCAGCAGUGGGGAAUAUUGCACAAUGGGCGCAAGCCUGAUGCAGCCAUGCCGCGUGUAUGAAGAAGGCCUUCGGGUUGUAAAGUACUUUCAGCGGGGAGGAAGGCGGUGAGGUUAAUAACCUUGCCGAUUGACGUUACCCGCAGAAGAAGCACCGGCUAACUCCGUGCCAGCAGCCGCCGUAA